AUUGAACGCUGGCGGCAUGCUUUACACAUGCAAGUCGAACGGUAACAGGCCGCAAGGUGCUGACAAGUGGCGAACGGGUGAGUAAUGCAUCGGAACGUGCCCAGUCGUGGGGGAUAACGCAGCGAAAGCUGUGCUAAUACCGCAUACGAUCUAUGGAUGAAAGCGGGGGACCGUAAGGCCUCGCGCGAUUGGAGCGGCCGAUGGCAGAUUAGCUAGUUGGUGGGGUAAAGGCCCACCAAGGCGACGAUCUGUAGCUGGUCUGAGAGGACGACCAGCCACACUGGGACUGAGACACGGCCCAGACUCCUACGGGAGGCAGCAGUGGGGAAUUUUGGACAAUGGGCGCAAGCCUGAUCCAGCAAUGCCGCGUGCAGGAAGAAGGCCUUCGGGUUGUAAACUGCUUUUGUACGGAACGAAACGGCCUGGGUUAAUACCCUGGGCUAAUGACGGUACCGUAAGAAUAAGCACCGGCUAACUACGUGCCAGCCGCCGCCGUAA
rnacentral:rRNA from 1 species